rnacentral:rRNA from 1 species
UACGAAGGGGGCUAGCGUUGUUCGGAAUCACUGGGCGUAAAGCGCAUGCAGGCGGAUCGAUAAGUCGGGGGUGAAAUCCCGAGGCUCAACCUCGGAACUGCCUUCGAUACUGCCGAUCUGGAGUCCGGGAGAGGUGAGUGGAACUGCGAGUGUAGAGGUGAAAUUCGUAGAUAUUCGCAAGAACACCAGUGGCGAAGGCGGCUCACUGGCCCGGUACUGACGCUGAGAUGCGAAAGCGUGGGGAGCAAACAGG